GACGAACGCUGGCGGCGUGCUUAAUACAUGCAAGUCGAACGCGAAUGUUCCUUCGGGAACAUUUGAGUGGCGGACGGGUGAGUAACGCGUGGGCAAUCUGCCCUCUAGCCUGGGAUAACAGUUCGAAAGGACUGCUAACACCGGAUAUGAUGAUUCUGAGGCAUCUUGGGAUUAUGAAAGUUUACACUAGAGGAUGAGCCCGCGUCCCAUUAGCUAGUUGGUGAGGUAACGGCCCACCAAGGCGACGAUGGGUAGCCGACCUGAGAGGGUGAACGGCCACACUGGGACUGAGACACGGACCAGACUCCUACGGGAGGCAGCAGUAGGGAAUUUUCCGCAAUGGGCGAAAGCCUGACGGAGCAACGCCGCGUGAGGGAUGAAGGUUUUCGGAUCGUAAACCUCUGUCUUCAGGGACGAUAAUGACGGUACCUGAGGAGGAAGCCACGGCUAACUACGUGCCAGCAGCCGCGGUAA
rnacentral:rRNA from 1 species